rnacentral:tRNA from 1 species
GAUACUGUAGAUAUAGUUUUAAUUAAAACAUUAGAUUGUGGUUCUAAAAACAGAGGUUAAAACCCUCUUAUUCACCGA